UGCGUAGGUGGUCAGGUAAGUCGGAUGUGAAAUCUCCGAGCUCAACUCGGAAAUGGCAUUGGAAACUACCUGGCUCGAGGGUUGGAGGGGGGACUGGAAUGCUUGGUGUAGCAGUGAAAUGCGUAGAUAUCAAGCGGAACACCAGUGGCGAAGGCGAGUCCCUGGACAACUCCUGACACUGAGGCACGAAAGCUAGGGGAGCAAACA
rnacentral:rRNA from 1 species